rnacentral:tRNA from 1 species
GCCCUGAAAGUAAGGAUUAGCGACUGAUUUGUAAUCAGUAGGUCGGGAGUUCGAGUCUCUCUGGGGGCACCA